rnacentral:sRNA from 1 species
AAGUGCUAAUUUCUGUUUUAAUGUGUCC